rnacentral:lncRNA from 1 species
CAGCACAGCAUGGUGUGGACUAGAGGAAGACAUGAGAAGUCAUGAUAUGAAUACAUGUAUGGUGUGUUGGGGAUGGUAGGCAGAAGGGAAGUCGAUGUCAGGCCGGGUCUUCAUGUGGAUUCUGGGAGACAUUUGCCGACACACUUUUCUAUAGUGAAGGACCAGCGUACUCAACAAAAGAGUCCUUAGGUAGUCACAUGCACUUAUGCAAGUCCCUUUUUGACGCGAAGAGAUCUAUCUAGCACCAUAUGGUCAUUUACAUCAAUGUAUUCUUGCAUAGCAGACCAAAUGCAGUGGACUUUUGCACUGAUGAUCAACAGGAAAAUUUCCCAUGGCUCAGGCACAACACACGGUAUCCACUGGCAUCGAUAUCGCCUUUUUUAAAAAAAUAUUUCUGGUGCUGGUAUAUAUAGUGGCCGGUGUCCAUUCAACGCGUCCAGCUAAAAAAGGCCAGCAGCAUACCGGCCAGCACCGUGUAGACUACACGGAGAGGAGAGAGAGAAGGAUGAUGAAUAGAGUUGGGAAGAAGCUGCAUGCGUUGGUGUGUCGGGAAUGGUAGGCAAAAGGGAAAUGGACAUCAGAUAGUAACAAGAAGGAUGAGGGAAGCGCAGACCGAAUCAGUUUCAUUACUAAAAGUUGCUCCAGUUUCUUGGUGUGGUAUAUACUAUAUAGAAGAUGUUGCAAUGGAUAAGAAAAUGAAAAAAAAACCCCGAAAAAAGAGUGAUCCCUGAAACGCCAAAGCAGCGCAUGUGGUCAUGCUUCAGCAGGCGU